CCUAGGGCCGGGGAGGAGGACCGAAGAAGGAGGAGGACAGUGGGCUGGAGGACAAGGGUUUUUUGGUCUACACAACUGGUUUGAUGAGCUGAAUGGCUCUGUAAACAGUAAACAAGUGGUGCUUUCUUCAUUUCCCAGUCUUCCUUGACUUGGCUGAAAGUGUAAGCAGCAGUAGCAAAGGGCAUAAGUGAAUUGUGGAGACACCAAGACACUUGAAAGGACCAGAAGAACAACUACCAGAUAUGCUCUUAGAAGGAACGCUGAGCCCAGGAAUUUGUUUUGAGCACUAGAACUGAAUAA